rnacentral:rRNA from 1 species
UACGGAGGGCGCGAGCGUUACCCGGAUUUACUGGGCGUAAAGGGCGUGGAGGCGGCUUGGGGCGUCCCUUGUGACAGGCCUCGGCUCAACCGUGGAGGAGCGUGGGAUAAGCUCAGGCUAGACGGUGGGAGAGGGUGGUGGAAUUCCCGGAGUAGCGGUGAAAUGCGCAGAUACCGGGAGGAACGCCGAUGGCGAAGGCAGCCACCUGGUCCACAUGUGGCGCUGAGGCGCGAAAGCGUGGGGAGCAAACCGG